UGUCAUGGUCUGUGGAAUGCGUGAUGCUCGGGUAGCCACACCCCCGGGCUGGGCCAUCACUAGCACACCUGCUCUCCAUCCCGGUGAUUACACGGAGAUCCACUUAAUCCGGCGCUGACGGAUGCUCCACGCCAGUCCGUAGUCAUCCCCACAGUGAUUUCUACUCGGCGUCUGCUACCUGCCUGUCCUCCGGCUCAACUGGAUCUCGCGGCGCUCACCUGGCCCACUCGCCAUUCCACGGACUUCCUGCCCCCACGGACUGCCACACUUCCCUCCCGAGCUCCCACGGUUCCGUUCUAUCCCCCCCGCCGUCCCGAUCCCGGCUUCCUCGUGUCAUUGUUUCCCCGGAUUUUUAGUUUCUGUUUUGCUCUCUACUUUCCCCGGGUCGCCUUUCGUUGUUUUAAUAAAGUGUCUUUUUGUUAGCUCGGAG
ensembl:lncRNA